GAUGAACGCUGGCGGCGUGCUUAACACAUGCAAGUCGAACGAUGAAGCCCAGCUUGCUGGGUGGAUUAGUGGCGAACGGGUGAGUAACACGUGAGUAACCUGCCCUUAACUCUGGGAUAAGCCUGGAAAACUGGGUCUAAUACCGGAUAGGAGCGUCCACCGCAUGGUGGGUGUUGGAGAGAUUUAUCGGUUUUGGAUGGACUCGCGGCCUAUCAGCUUGUUGGUGAGGUAAUGGCUCACCAAGGCGACGACGGGUAGCCGGCCUGAGAGGGUGACCGGCCACCCUGGGACUGAGAGACGGACCAGACUCCUACGGGAGGCAGCAGUGGGGAAUAUUGCACAAUGGGAGCAAGCCUGAUGCAGAGACGCCGCGUGAGGGAUGACGGCCUUCGGGUUGUAAACAUCUUUCAGUAGGGACGAAGCGAAAGUGACGGUACCUGCAGAAGAAGCACCGGCUAACUACGUG
rnacentral:rRNA from 1 species